CACAAAUCUAAAGUAUCAGUUGGA
rnacentral:piRNA from 1 species